GUCGUGUCAAUGCCCAACCGAGAAGAUAAGUUCGUUUUUUUUCUUCAUUUGUUUUUCUUUUCUUCUUUCUUCUCUUUCUCUGUUUCUCUGCGACUUAAGAGAUUGAGUGUUCGAGUUAAGAUUUUGAAAUCGAUUUAUGAAGGAAGAUUUCAUGGUAUGGUUGUUUCUAGUGGUGUUGAUGUUGAUUAGCUCUGAAGAAGAAGAAGAAGAAGAAGAAGAAGAUUAAGAAGAAGAUUAAGUUGUCGUUGUAACGAAGUUAGGGUUCUGUGAAUAAAGUUUAGGAAUUCGAUUCGGUGAAGUUUAUGAAGAUAUUUAAGGACUAGUUGGCUGAUUUGUUCGUGAUGGUGGUGUUGAAUCAGGUUUUGAUUCAAACUCAGCGGAGGAGGUAAAUCGAAGAACUAUGGUUUCUCAGAGGAUUAUUUAGAGGUUCAAUUAAUGAUGAAUAAGAUGGGAUUAAAGAUGGGUUUUACCUGAAUUAGAGUUUGAGGUUGAAGUAUAACUUAAAUCGAUAGUUAGGGUUUGAUUGUAUUUUUGAGGCUGAAGAUUUGAAUCAGUUGAAGAAACUGGGAUUUGAUUUGGUAAAUAAGAAGGUGAUGAAAUUGUUAGGAUUGUUGAGUUGGUUGUGGUAUGAGCAAAGCAAGGAGGUUAGAAUCAUAUGCCUUACUACUAAGAAUUUGAUAGAAGAUGAUAGCCUGUUGAAUCAAUUCAAGUAAGAAGAAGUGAUCUUAAUUAGCUAAAGUGGAACCAAUUGAGGUGAAGAUUGUGUUACAUAUGGGUAUGCGCUGUGAUGAAUGUUGUGUUUUUGAUGGAGUUGAGAUGUUAUUGGUUACAUCCGGUGAUAUCAGAUUGAUUUGCAGUUCAUUGAGGGACAUGAACUGAGUUUGGUAGUGGUGCUGUAAUGAAGCCACAGGGUUAGUGAUGAACAAGUUGUUUGGAAUGUUUUAUGGAAUUGAUUGAAGUGAUAAUGAUGCUGCUGUUAGAGAGUUAUGUUGGGUGUUGAAUGUGUGCAUGGGAUGAUAGUUGUAGGACUAUAAUUAGUGUUUGUUGUGAAAGCCUAAAGCUGCAAUUGCAGGUAAUUAAGAUGUAAUUAUGUUUGUAAUUUCAUUCUGAAAUUUGUUUAUGAAUAGACUGAAGUUUAUUCGAAUAAUUCUAUUGAUGUAUUAUUAGUUUGAAGUUUCACC